UUUUGACUAAAAUACCCUUAGCAAACAAUAAAAAGAUGAUGAUUAUCCUUUGACUGGGUUUGACUUCGUUAUUUAGUUCUUCGCCACCGUCUCUUCCCUCGCCUCAUCUCCGCCUCUCUUCUCUCAAAUCCUGCUCAAAGCCCAAACCCUCGCCGUCUCUUCCUUCGUCCGCCACCGCCUCAUCUCCCCGUUUCAGUAAAGAAUGGCUCGAUUCAAAAGGAAGAAGGCGCUCCCAAAGCCGUCUACGGUGAAGAAUACACCCUGCGUGGAUCGGAUCACUGGGCAGACGAUCCCGAAGAGUUUUGUCUUCUCCAGGGGGAAGCUAGGCCUUCCCAGAGAUCUCGAAUUGGAUCUCCGGAAGCUUAUGCUCCCCCAUACCACCUUAAAAUUAAAGUGACAGGAGAAGAAACAGAAUAAACUCGAAGACUUGUGAAUGUUGCAGGGCCUAUGGGUGUGACCCAUUUUCUUAUACCAUCAAACUCAAAAGAGCAUGCCCCAUUUGCGUGUUGCAAGGACACCGCAAGGUCCGACAUUAACUUGUAAGAUACAUGAAUAUGCUUUGGCUGCUGAUAUUAUUCGAUCUCAGUCUCAUCCCAGUUGUCCUAAAGAGCUGUUCAGUAACUCGCCCCUAAUUGUUCUUUCUGGCUUUGGGAGUGGAGAUCAGCACCUGAAAAGCUCACAAGAAUCAUGUUUCAAAACAUCGUCUCAGCCAUUGACAUAAAUAUGCAUUAUUCCAUCCGUCUACAACUGAUUGGUGUAACUCGGAGGAUUAGAAAGUUUGUUUGAAUCUUGGCAUGCCAGAUUUGAGGAAUCUUCAGGAUGUUGGCGAUUUCCUGACCAAGUAAGAGCUAAUUUAUCUUUCAU